UAAGGGUGUGGUAGCAGCCCGGAGGAAAACUUUGUCAAGUUGGUGAUGAGGAAAUACGGCUGCUCCUGAAAACAGUUUGGCCUACAGAAGAGAGACAGCUUCUUGGUCCUCAGGAGAUAGCCCUUCUCACGUGCUUCACAGUUACUCAGGAGCUUCUUUCUGUGCAAAAGAGACUGCUGACUUUCUAUUUUAUUUCUGAGAAUGCAGGAUUACACUAUACUACAGUUUGAAGAAAAACUUGGAAAAAGAAAUGUAUGCAUGGUUAAACAUCCCAAUACACCUUUUUUAUGAUUUCUGUACUUUAAUGUCCUUUAUUCUUUUACUCAUUUGGCAAGGACACAGCUAACACAGUCCCACAAGAUUGUAUAUAACCCACCCUGUAAUUUAUAUACGUUAACUACAUUAUAUAUUUUAUAUGUGGACCAAGACAGUUCCCCUUCAUUCAGUGCAGCUGAGGCAAGCCAAAAGCUUGGAAACCCAUGUUCUAGGAGAAAUGUCUACACCCUUUUUUUACUGAUAUGGAAGAAUUUUUACACCAAAAAUGAUGUCAGAAGGAAAACUGGGUCUAUUCCAAACUGUUUGAAAGAACACAGGACACUUGCCUGAAGCAGAGUAGAUGUUUGUUUCUGAAGGUACCAAACAAGCAAAAUGCAAGAUCAACUCUUCAAAGGUGGACACAUGUCAAUUUCCCAGGAUACUUUCUUUUAUGGGAAAACCUUUCUAUUGUUCCUUGAAACUGGCCCUCUAUGAUUUCUUGGAAAGUGCAAUU